rnacentral:rRNA from 1 species
AUUGAACGCUGGCGGCAUGCCUUACACAUGCAAGUCGAACGGUAACAGGUCUUCGGAUGCUGACGAGUGGCGAACGGGUGAGUAAUACAUCGGAACGUGCCUAGUAGUGGGGGAUAACUACUCGAAAGAGUGGCUAAUACCGCAUGAGAUCUACGGAUGAAAGCAGGGGAUCGCAAGACCUUGUGCUAUUAGAGCGGCCGAUGGCAGAUUAGGUAGUUGGUGGGAUAAAAGCUUACCAAGCCGACGAUCUGUAGCUGGUCUGAGAGGACGAUCAGCCACACUGGGACUGAGACACGGCCCAGACUCCUACGGGAGGCAGCAGUGGGGAAUUUUGGACAAUGGGCGCAAGCCUGAUCCAGCAAUGCCGCGUGCAGGAUGAAGGCCUUCGGGUUGUAAACUGCUUUUGUACGGAACGAAAAGCCCCGGGUUAAUACCCUGGGGUCAUUACGGUACCGUAAGAAUAAGCACCGGCUAACUACGUGCCAGCCGCCGCCGUAA